ACGGGAGGCAGCAGUGGGGAAUAUUGCACAAUGGGCGAAAGCCUGAUGCAGCGACGCCGCGUGAGUGAUGAAGUAUUUCGGUAUGUAAAGCUCUAUCAGCAGGGAAGAUAAUGACGGUACCUGACUAAGAAGCACCGGCUAAAUACGUGCCAGCAGCCGCGGUAAUACGUAGGUGGCAAGCGUUAUCCGGAUUUACUGGGUGUAAAGGGCGCGUAGGCGGGGAGACAAGUCAGGUGUGAAAUCUAUGGGCUUAACCCAUAAACUGCAUUUGAAACUGUAUCUCUUGAGUGCUGGAGAGGUAGAUGGAAUUCCUUGUGUAGCGGUGAAAUGCGUAGAUAUAAGGAAGAACACCAGUGGCGAAGGCGAUCUACUGGACAGUAACUGACGCUGAGGCUCGAAAGUGUGGGGAGCAAACAGGAUUAGAUACCCUGGUA
rnacentral:rRNA from 1 species